UACGUAGGGGGCAAGCGUUAUCCGGAAUUAUUGGGCGUAAAGAGUGCGUAGGUGGUUUUGUAAGCGCGGGGUGAAAGGCAAUGGCUCAACCAUUGUAAGCCUUGCGAACUGCAAGACUUGAGUGCAGGAGAGGAAAGUGGAAUUCCUAGUGUAGCGGUGAAAUGCGUAGAUAUUAGGAGGAACACCAGUGGCGAAGGCGACUUUCUGGACUGUAACUGACACUGAGGCACGAAAGCGUGGGGAGCAAACAGG
rnacentral:rRNA from 1 species